CGCGGGGUAGAGCAGUUUGGUAGCUCACAAGGCUCAUAACCUUGAGGUCACGAGUUCAAAUCCUGUCUCCGCAA
rnacentral:tRNA from 1 species